rnacentral:rRNA from 1 species
CCCAGAUAACAGGUACGCUCUGAAGAGGCCGGAAUGGGUACUGAACACGGACCCAGCCUAUGGCGCACAGGCGAAACUUUGCAUGUCAAAGCACGACAAGUUAAUCCGAUGUCUCCUGCUAAGGAGUCUUUGUCAGUUGUAAAUCACUGGUGAAUAAGGGGUGGGCAAGUUCUGGUGUCAGCCGCCGCGGUAAAACCAGCACCUCGAGUGGUCAGGAGGUUCAUUGGGCCUAAAGCAUCCGUAGCCGGUUGCAUAAGUUAUCGGUUAAAUCUAUGCGCUUAACAG